UACAGAGGUCCCAAGCGUUGUUCGGAUUCAUUGGGCGUAAAGGGUGCGUAGGCGGCGCGGUAAGUCGGGUGUGAAAUCUCGGAGCUUAACUCCGAAACUGCAUCGAUACUGCCGUGCUUGAGGACUGGAGAGGAGACUGGAAUUUACGGUGUAGCGGUGAAAUGCGUAGAUAUCGUGAAGGAAGACCGAGUGGCGAAGGGCGGGGUCUCUGGACAGUUCCUGACGCUGAGGCACGAAGGCCAGGGGAGCAAACGGG
rnacentral:rRNA from 1 species